UACAGAGGUCUCAAGCGUUGUUCGGAUUCAUUGGGCGUAAAGGGUGCGUAGGUGGCGUCGUAAGUCGGGUGUGAAAUUUCGGAGCUUAACUCCGAAACUGCAUUCGAUACUGGCGUGCUUGAGGACUGGAGAGGAGACUGGAAUUCAUGGUGUAGCAGUGAAAUGCGUAGAGAUCAUGAGGAAGACCAGUGGCGAAGGCGGGUCUCUGGACAGUUCCUGACGCUGAGGCACGAAGGCCAGGGGAGCAAACGGG
rnacentral:rRNA from 1 species